AAAAAAAAAAAAAAAAAGUACUAGAAUGAAGGAAAAAGAAAAGAAGAAGAAACAAAACGAAUAACGAGGAGAGGGAGACAGAGGAAAUGGUCCAAAAAAAUUACAUGAAGACACUUGUCUUUCCAAGGUGUUGUUGCUUGCUUAUUUUUUUCUGUUGUCGGUUGCGUUGGGUUGGGUUUGAGUUCUUAGUAAAAUUAAUGAUCGACUAACGUGUCAGUUUUACUAUAUAUAAAGCUAACUUCAAUAGAAAAUACUUAGUUUGAGUUCUUAAUCAAACUAAUGACUUAAUUGUAUCGAGAAAACAGAUUCAGACUUAUUGAGUUGGUUUGAGUUCAUAAUGAAGAUGAUGACUGAUUGAUGUGUUAGUUUUACUAAUAUAUAUGUAUAAUGUCAAUCCCAAUAGAAAACACCCUUAAAUUUAUUGGAUUGGUUUGGGUUCGUUUGAAUUCUUAAUGGAACUAAGAUGUGUCAUUUUUACUCUAUAUAAAGCCAACUUCAAUAGAAAAUACCCUAAGCUAAUAACCAUUUGAUGUGUUAGUUUUACUAUAUACAAACCCAACCCCCAUAGAAAAUAUCUUCAAACCUAUUGACCGAAGUCAGUUCGAUUUAUUUCUAUUGACUAUAUAGACAUGCUAUAUCUGGAAACGUGUUUAUUUUUAAUACUUAUGUAUUUGACUAGCUACAUCUAGUUGCCACUUUGAGAUAAAUCUUUAAGU